rnacentral:misc_RNA from 1 species
CCCCUUCAGGACGUCGUCUGUUUACAUGUCUCCCACGUCUUGGGCAAAAUGUUAGAACAGCAGAUAGAGACCAUUGUUACCAGUCUCUGCGCCAGCCAGAAACUGGAGCGAGAUCGGGCUGUUGUCGAGCUUAAUAACAAGAUAAAGACCCUGUCCACUGAAGUUAUUCAUAGCCUCCAGAGGGCCUUGAUCAAUAAGUCACUUGACUCCAGCAGUCCAUGGGAAACAGUACAUGGAUCUCUUUUGGGCCUGCGAGUGGUGGUGAUGAACACAGAGGUUGAACCGGAAGGCCAAUUCCACUGUGAAGUAAGGGCUGCUUCUCUCAGGCUCCUCACUCAUCAGGAAGUUCGUGUGAGACAAGCAGCUGGUGAGGUGCUAGGUGCUCUGUGCCAACAAGAUGGAGGGGUUACGUACGCUUCAUGCCGGUCACAGGUUUUAGAGCUAGUGCGCAGUAAUUUAGAACGGCAAAUGACUGAUGAUGAUGCCUCAAGGAGUGAACACGAAAGCACAAGGCAGCUGAUGGAGAAACUAACAGCAGGAACGAGAGAGAGGAGAAAUAGUGGUGAUGCAGCUCAGAUCUUCCAUGACACGGCCGGGUGGCGUAACUUGGAGACUAACAUGAAAUGCCUCGAACAUAUGAUCAAUGGCUGUGCUCCAAAGUUCCUUCCUUAUAUUGAUCAGGAUUUGCUGGACUUGAUAUUCACGGCCCUGACACACACUAAUCGUUUUGUGAGGGAGACGGGAUUUAAUGUGUGUGCUGCAUUGGUGUCAUGCGGAGGAGGAGAGGCAGCAGAGUUCCUGGAGACCAAUCCAAUGUUCACCUUUGGAGAUCAGCUGUCUCGUCACCUGGGACAGGGAUUGGCUGAUAACUGGAGCCAGGUACGCUUAGCAUCAUCUGUUGCAACACGGAAGUUCCUGAUGUCACUCCCAGCAGCUGCCAGAGAGAGGUUCUUCCCUGUCCUGCUUCCCAGACUGUGCCUUAAUAGGUAUUAUGUCGCUGAAGGAGUGAGGCUCCAUUCACAGGAAACUUGGCGUCAGGUGGCUGGGUCAGAGGGUAAAGCCUUGGUGGAAAAAUACAUUGAUCCUGUGGUUGUCUACUAUAUUGAAGCAACAGAAGCGGACAAUCAUGCAGUACGCGAGGCAGCUUGUGCAUGCAUCGCAGAAUUGGCCCUGAAGAUAGCUCGAAGUGCUGUGCGAGCCCAUGUGCCUGACUUGCUCCAUGCUCUCACUGUGUGCUUCAGUGAUGAUUCGUGGCCUGUCAGAGAUGCGGCAUGUGUAGCUUGUGGAAACUUUAUCCUGUGCUUCCCUGAUGAGUCUCAGGGCACUUUAGAAGUGCUCUACCCUCUCUUCUUCACCAAUCUCCAGGAUAACAUCCCCUCUGUUCGCCAAGGAGCAGCCGCCGCACUCUCCAAUGUUGUCAGAGCUUAUGGAAAGACUGUCCUUCCACACAUCAUGGAAAAACUAAAGGAGGGAUUAAAAGGUGUUGAGGGACAGCCCUCGGAGAGUGAGCGCUACGGUGACCUAGAAAGUGGACCGGCCACUUACGGAGUCGUGAAACGCAAGAGAGACAAUGACAUGGACCUCCAUUCUAAUAAGCAGAUGUACUCUUGUGGUUCCUUGGCUCCUAAGAUGGGGCGUGGUGGAGGUGGAUGCUCUGACUGCAGGUUCCGGCGUCCUCCACAGCUUUGGGAGAAAGCUGAUGGGUGCCUCUACCUGGCCAGUGAGUUGGCAGGAAUCCCUGAGGCUGCUCCCAGUAUCUUAGAGUGCUUGCCCCUAAUGUCCGAGGCUGUCCGCCACAAGCACUACACAUCCCAUGUUACCCUGCUGGAGACGCUUUGCAAGACCUUACCCCACAUGGCCAAGGGUCUUAGCAAGAGGGUGUUCAAGAGCCACCUGCAUCUCUUCCUGGAUGCUAUCUUCUAUGCAUUGGAGUGUGAAAAUGCCCUGACAUCAUCAGCCGCAAGCCAGUGUCUGACGCAGCUCUCGCAGUUUCUUGGUCCAAACAUCCUCCGUGGGCGAGUGGAAGAGUACAAUCCGAGUUAUUUAAGAGCUUUAGAUGCCAACAACUUCAUCGCUCCACUGUGAUAAAGAUGGCAACAGAGAGAAGCUGAAGAGUGCGUCCAUCAAGCCAACAGUCAAUGCGUACCUUCCAGAACAGUCUGUCUAUGGGUUGUUUACAAAGGUAGUGUAUGUCACUUCACAUUUCUUGACAUAACAAAGACAAGAAAAAUCCUUUAUGUCUACCAUAUUGAAAAUGAAAGUGUUAAAAAUUUUUGCUUUAUGUAUUAUAUACAGGUAAUAUCUUACUAUAAUGUUAAUUUUGUAAUUUGAUAAUUCAGUACAAGCACUGUGAUUUGUUUUAGUGUAAUGAUAAAAAUCUCUAGGAUUAAAGAAAUAAAACAGCCAA